rnacentral:rRNA from 1 species
AACGCGAAGAACCUUACCUGGGCUUGAACUACUGGUAGUAAGCUUUUGGAAACAUUAGCUGAUCCGCAAGGAAGCCAGCAGAGGUGCUGCAUGGUUGUCGUCAGCUCGUGUCGUGAGAUGUUGGGUUAAGUCCCGCAACGAGCGCAACCCCUAUCUCAUGUUGCUAAUCCCGCAAGGGAUGCACUUUUGAGAAACUGCCUUCGAUAAGAAGGAGGAAGGUGGGGACGACGUCAAAUCCUCAUGGCCCUUAUGUCCAGGGCUACACACGUGCUACAAUGGCCGGUACAACGGGAAGCAAUACCGCAAGGUGGAGCAAAACCCUGAAAGCCGGCCCCAGUUCAGAUCGUGGGCUGAAACUCGCCCACGUGAAGGCGGAAUCGCUAGUAAUCGCGAAUCAGCAGGUCGCGGUGAAUACGUUCCCGGGCCUUGUACACACCGCUCGUC